GGACGGCUAGCUCAGUUGGUUAGAGCGACUGGUUUACACCCAGUAGGUCGCAGGUUCGAGUCCUGUGCCGUCCACCA
rnacentral:tRNA from 3 species